GAUGAACGCUGACAGAAUGCUUAACACAUGCAGGUCGAUGGGGAAGUGGUGCUUGCACCAUGGCAACCAUGGCGGACGGGUGAGUAACGCGUAAGGGACUUACCUGCAGGACUGGGAUAACAGGGGGAAACUCCUGACAAGACCGGAUAAUGUCAUGGAGCUGCAUGGCUUUAUGAUGAAAGGAGACGCCUGCGGAGAGCCUUGCGUCCUAUUAGCUAGUUGGUGAGGUAAUGGCUCACCAAGGCGAAGAUAGGUAGCCGGCCUGAGAGGGUGGACGGCCACAAGGGGACUGAGAUACGGCCCUUACUCCUACGGGAGGCAGCAGUGGGGAAUAUUGGACAAUGGGGGCAACCCUGAUCCAGCAAUUCUGUGUGCACGAAGAAGGUUUUCGGAGUGUAAAGUGCUUUCAGCAGGGAAGAAGUAAGUGACGGUACCUGCAGAAGAAGCGACGGCUAAAUACGUG
rnacentral:rRNA from 1 species